UACAGAGGCCCCAAGCGUUGUUCGGAUUCAUUGGGCGUAAAGGGUGCGUAGGUGGUGUUGUAAGUUGAAUGUGAAAUCCCGGAGCUCAACUCCGGAACUGCAUUCAAUACUGCGGCACUUGAGGAUUGUAGGGGAGAGUGGAAUUCACGGUGUAGCAGUGAAAUGCGUAGAUAUCGUGAGGAAGACCAGUGGCGAAGGCGACUCUCUGGGCAACUCCUGACACUGAGGCACGAAGGCUAGGGUAGCGAAC
rnacentral:rRNA from 1 species